rnacentral:rRNA from 1 species
UACGUAGGGGGCUAGCGUUGUCCGGAAUCAUUGGGCGUAAAGCGCGUGUAGGCGGCCCGGUAAGUCCGCUGUGAAAGUCGGGGGCUCAACCCUCGAAUGCCGGUGGAUACUGUCGGGCUAGAGUGCGGAAGAGGCGAGUGGAAUUCCUGGUGUAGCGGUGAAAUGCGCAGAUAUCAGGAGGAACACCGAUGGCGAAGGCAGUGAUCUGGGCCGGUACUGACGCUGAGGAGCGAAAGCGUGGGUAGCAAACAGG